rnacentral:piRNA from 1 species
UAGGAAGUUGCCAGGCACUAAUUCCUCUGU